AAGCUUCCUGAGUAAGAGAUGGAGCUUGCUGAGGACUCACUAGGUGCUAGGCGCUGGCCCGAGCACUUUAUGUGGGGAUAACUCACUUAUCUCCAGGGAAACCUUACGAGAUUGUCCAGGUCAUGGAAAACUACAGCUAGAAAUGCAAGAAGAAAUCUUUCCAGUGUUUAACUCCAAAUCCUGCGAGGCUCGCUGAGAGGCUAGAGCCAUCCUUGCUUGUCGUUAGAGCUCAUCUGAGGGGCGGCUCCCCCCACCCCGUUACCCUUCCUGUUACCACCCGUUAGCCUUCUCCGUGAAGCCUGGAUGUUUUCACCGUGAAGUGUAGGUCUAGCUGUGACACUCUCACUGCCCACAAAUACACAGGAUUCCAGCGAGCAAACAGCCUUGCCCAGAGUGUACCCGGCAUCAGCCACAGGGACUUCCACAAGCUCUGUCUCCCUGAGCGUCAGGAAGAGAGGUGAGCUGCCUGGGAGUGCUCACGACCUUUCCGACAGUAAACCAACCAGGAACGACUCCUGCAUCGCCAUUGCUGCUGAGGGACGGAAAUGCAAGAAAGAAACACAGGCUGCAAAUGACUGAUUCCCCAGUUUGGGACGUGAACCUGAUGAAGUCCGAUUGACUGCGUGGUUCCAGAUGAACUACUAGUGAA